rnacentral:miRNA from 1 species
UGGGGGCGGAAGGAGAACCCAA